rnacentral:rRNA from 1 species
UACGAAGGGGGCUAGCGUUGUUCGGAUUUACUGGGCGUAAAGCGCGUGUAGGCGGGCCGUUAAGUUAGGGGUGAAAUCCCGGAGCUCAACUCCGGAACUGCCUCCAAAACUGGCGGCCUGGAGCAGAGGAGAGGCGAGUGGAAUUCCGAGUGUAGAGGUGAAAUUCGUAGAUAUUCGGAGGAACACCAGUGGCGAAGGCGACUCGCUGGACUCUUGCUGACGCUGAGACGCGAAAGCGUGGGGAGCAAACAGG